UUACAGAUGUUACACAUCAUCCUUUCUUGCAUUGUGAUCAAAUGCCUAACACAAUAAGCUAGACCAUACCAAGGAGUGAGGGGCACUGGGAAAGCAUGUUCUAGAGUUAGAAAUACCGACCAAAUUUCAUAUAGCCCAAAUUUGUGUGUACCAUGAACUUUACAAGCUAUUCAGCAAAGAUGGAUCGGAAUAAACCCAUCAAGUUACCCUCUACCAAAUAAAUAUCCACCACACUUGUAUAUACCUCUAGAGCUGCCCACCAUCUCGCAAGAAUCGGGGUGCUCAUCACAUAAGAUGCACGCAAUGUUCUUUCACAAUUUAGGAGCCUGGGCUAAUCCAAGUCAACGAUGAUGCAGCUAGCAUGCACGCACGCACCCAAUGAUAAUAAAGUAUUGUAUAUGCAAGGAUAACAUGAUCACUAGAUGUGAUUUGGGUCCCUAUAGUUGAG
rnacentral:lncRNA from 1 species